rnacentral:rRNA from 1 species
AUUGAACGCUGGCGGCAGGCCUACACAUGCCAGUCGAGCGGAUGAAGGGAGCUUGCCCCUGGAUUCAGCGGCGGACGGGUGGGUAAUGCCUAGGAAUCUUCCUGGUAGUGGGGGAUAACGUCCGGAAACGGGCGCUAAUACCGCAUACGUCCUGAGGGAGAAAGUGGGGGAACUUGGGACCUCACGCUAUCAGAUGAGCCUAGGUCGGAUUAGCUAGUUGGUGGGGUAAAGGCCUACCAAGGCGACGAUCCGUAACUGGUCUGAGAGGAUGAUCAGUCACACUGGAACUGAGACACGGUCCAGACUCCUACGGGAGGCAGCAGUGGGGAAUAUUGGACAAUGGGCGAAAGCCUGAUCCAGCCAUGCCGCGUGUGUGAAGAAGGUCUUCGGAUUGUAAAGCACUUUAAGUUGGGAGGAAGGGCAGUAAGUUAAUACCUUGCUGUUUUGACGUUACCAACAGAAUAAGCACCGGCUAACUUCGUG